GGAUGCAUAAUUUCAUCUGCUCUCAGGAGCUAAGCAGAUUUGAACCUGAUGAGUUCUUGGGUGGGAGAUCACCUGGGAAUAUCUAGUGCAUUGA
rnacentral:rRNA from 1 species